rnacentral:rRNA from 1 species
GUGCAGCAGUCGAGAAUCCUCCGCAAUGCUCGAAAGAGCGACGGGGGACUCCAAGUGCCUACGCUUUGCGUAGGCUUUUCCCAAGCCUAAAAAGCUUGGGGAAUAAGGGCUGGGUAAGACGGGUGCCAGCCGCCGCGGUAAUACCCGCAGCCCGAGUGGUGGCCGCUUUUAUUGGGCCUAAAGCGUCCGUAGCCGGUCUGGUAAAUGCCUGGGUAAAUCGUCUGGCUCAACCAGACGAAUUCCGGGUAGACUGCCAGACUAGGGACCGGAGGAAGGAGAGGGUACUCCGGGGGUAGGGGUGAAAUCCUGUAAUCCUCGGAGGACCACCGGUGGCGAAGGCGCUCUCCUAGGACGGGUCCGACGGUGAGGGACGAAAGCCAGGGGAGCAAACCGGAUUAGAUACCCCCGUAGU